CUUUAUAAUCAAAUAUGCAGAUUAUCAAUCAUGUUAGACUGAAAUAUCUAUGUUUAUUUAAGGGGUGCACAUUAUUGAAUAUUUUUAUAGCUGGUAAAAUAUAUUUCAAGCUUUGCAAGUAUAUUUAAAAUGUGAAAGUUUCCUGAAAUAAAAUAAAAUAAUAAAAUUUAACACAGAUGUUUUUAUAAUUUUUGUAAUCUCAGUUCCUGGAAUAACUUAACUUGCUAUUUUAUGUUUCUUCAACUGUUCAGGUUAAAUCAAUAGUAUUUUUUUAAACAAAAUACAACUGAAGAGAAACCUUUUGAUUAUUUGUAAAGUCAGCAAAAAAUAUAUAUAAAAUCAACUAAUUAUUUUUCAUUCACAAACUCGGCCAGUUCUUAAGAAUAUUUACCAAUGAGCAAUAUGACACCACUGUUUAUUUAAAAUUCAAGCAUAAAAUUAAACUUCAGAUAUCUAAUAUCUACUCUGACCCCACCAAUGUAAAUAAUUUGUAUCAGGUAUCAGUCACAUAUGUUAAUUUAGAGGUAGUAUUUAUUGUAGCAUUUGAAGAGAGUUGCAGAACUGCCUGUUGGUGUUUGAUUGAACUUGUAUUGCUCACCAUCUCACCACGACAUGGUACUGUACAAUUUUUAUCCUAAAAUAGUUUUAUGGGGUCUCUUCUUAUAAUGAAUAUUCUGUAUUUUUACAACAUGCAAGGAACCUAGGCUAUACGUGUCAGAAAUAGUAUUUUAUUUAUUGGGUACAAAAUGGGUGCAAUUUAUUGUACUUGGAAUGUGUUUUGGUAGAGUUUUUAUGUUACAUUUACGUCUUAUGUCUUCAGUUAUUUUUUAUUGUUAUAUGCAAUGCUAUAUUUUUAGAUUGCCUUUUAUGCUGAUUUUAUGUAUACUUUGCAGCAUAUACAGUACUCUGGCUACAACAAAUGUAAUGUAAAAUCAAUCCAUGUUAAUGUCUUUGUUUAUAUUUGUCCUGUCUUUCAGCUGAGACUGUUUGUGUUGCUUACAGCAGUGGUCUGCUGUAAUGAAGCCUGGGGGAAAGUACUGCACACUGGAGAUACCACAGACAGCCCACAAGAUGUGACGGGGGAUGAGUUUUUCAACCAGAAUGAUGACUUCAUAGGCAAUGAGCUAUAUGACACCACUGCUCAGCCCACUGCUGAUGGCCAAGUGACUGAAACAAUAAUAGCUGACAGUUGGGAGGAUAUUUACGGCUACACCCAAAAUUAUGACAUCGGAGGCGAUAAGCAAUAUGACGGUGACGACAGUCCUACUGACGAAACUGAACCAGUAAACUAAAAUAAAUGACCAGGCUAAACCCUGCA
ensembl:lncRNA